rnacentral:rRNA from 1 species
CCUACGGGAGACAGCAGUGAGGAAUAUUGGUCAAUGGGCUUACUCCUGAACCAGCCAAGUCGCGUGAGGGAAGACUGCCCUAUGGGUUGUAAACCUCUUUUGUCAGGGAGCAACGCCGGCUACGUGUAGCCGGACUGAGAGUCCCUGAAGAAAAAGCACCGGCUAACUCCGUGCCAGCAGCCGCGGUAAUACGGAGGAUGCGAGCGUUAUCCGGAUGUAUUGGGUUUAAGGGGUGCGUAGGCGGAAUGCCAAGUCAGCGGUAAAAUCGCGGGGCUCAACCUCGCUCCGCCGUUGAAACUGGCGUUCUUGAGUGGGCGAGAAGUAUGCGGAAUGCGUGGUGUAGCGGUGAAAUGCAUAGAUAUCACGCAGAACUCCGAUUGCGAAGGCAGCAUACCGGCGCCCAACUGACGCUGAAGCACGAAAGCGUGGGUAUCGAACAGGAUUAGAUACCCUGGUAGUC